GGCGCUUCUCAGGUGAUGCAACCUGGAAUCGAGCUCCCUCCUCUCUGGUUCCGGGUGCGUCACCCAAGAACCGCA
rfam:Myotis brandtii contig321228, whole genome shotgun sequence.